AAACUACUCCGUCAAACAAAAGAUGUCUUAAUUUUGUUAAAAUUUGAAUAUAUCUAAACAUGACUUAAUGUAUAGAUGUAUUUCAAUUAAGUUAAAUUUGAGACAUUUUUUGUUGAACGGAAGAAGUACGCU
rnacentral:pre_miRNA from 1 species